rnacentral:rRNA from 1 species
GAGUUUGAUCAUGGCUCAGAACGUACGCUGGCGGCACGCCUAGCACAUGCAAGUCGAACGAAGUAGCAAUACUUAGUGGCAGACGGGUGAGUAACAUGUAGGUAUCUACCCUUUGGCCUGGAAUAACACGAGGAAACUUGUGCUAAUACCGGAUAAGUCUUUACGGAGAAAGCUUUAUGCACCAAUGGAUGAGCCUGCACUUGAUUAGUUUGUUGGUAGGGUAAUGGCCUACCAAGACUGUGAUCAAUAGCUGAUUUGAGAGGAUGAUCAGCCACAUUGGGACUGAGACACGGCCCAAACUCCUACGGGAGGCAGCAGUGGGGAAUCUUGCACAAUGGAGGAAACUCUGAUGCAGCGAUGCCGCGUGAGUGAAGAAGGCCCUUGGGUUGUAAAGCUCUUUCGUCGGGGAAGAAAAUGACUGUACCCGAAUAAGAAGGUCCGGCUAACUUCGUGCCAGCAGCCGCGGUAAUACGAAGGGACCUAGCGUAGUUCGGAAUUACUGGGCUUAAAGAGUUCGUAGGUGGUUGAAAAAGUUGGUGGUGAAAUCCCAGAGCUUAACUCUGGAACUGCCAUCAAAACUUUUCAGCUAGAGUUUGAUAGAGGAAAGCAGAAUUUCUAGUGUAGAGGUGAAAUUCGUAGAUAUUAGAAAGAAUACCAAUUGCGAAGGCAGCUUUCUGGAUCAUUACUGACACUGAGGAACGAAAGCAUGGGUAGCGAAGAGGAUUAGAUACCCUCGUAGUCCAUGCCGUAAACGAUGUGUGUUAGACGUUGGAAAUUUAUUUUCAGUGUCGCAGCGAAAGCGAUAAACACACCGCCUGGGGAGUACGACCGCAAGGUUAAAACUCAAAUGAAUUGACGGGGACCCGCACAAGUAGUGGAGCAUGUGGUUUAAUUCGAAGAUACGCGCAGAACCUUACCAACACUUGACAUGUUCGUCGCGACUUUAAGAGAUUAAAGUUUUCGGUUCGGCCGGACGAAACACAGGUGCUGCAUGGCUGUCGUCAGCUCGUGUCGUGAGAUGUUGGGUUAAGUCCCGCAACGAGCGCAACCCUCACUUUUAGUUGCCAUCAUUUAGUUGGGCACUCUGAAAGAACUGCCAGUGAUAAGCUGGAGGAAGGUGGGGAUGACGUCAAGUCCUCAUGGCCCUUACGUGUUGGGCUACACACGUGCUACAAUGGUAUUUACAACAGGAAGCAAGACGGCGACGUUAAGCAAAUCCUUAAAAGAUACCUCAGUUCGGAUUGCACUCUGCAACUCGAGUGCAUGAAGCUGGAAUUACUAGUAAUCGUGGAUCAGCGUGCCACGGUGAAUGCGU